rnacentral:rRNA from 1 species
UACGUAGGGUGCAAGCGUUGUCCGGAAUUAUUGGGCGUAAAGAGCUCGUAGGCGGUUUGUUGCGUCGGCUGUGAAAUCCCGAGGCUCAACCUCGGGUCUGCAGUCGAUACGAGCAAACUAGAGUGUUGCAGGGGAGACUGGAAUUCCUGGUGUAGCGGUGAAAUGCGCAGAUAUCAGGAGGAACACCGGUGGCGAAGGCGGGCCUCUGGGCAACAACUGACGCUGAGGAGCGAAAGCGUGGGGAGCGAACGGG